GGUCACAGCUGAGGCGGAAGGAUCACUUGAGGCCAGGAGGUCGAGGAUGCGGUGAGCUAUGAACUCACCAUGCCACUCCAGCCUGUGUGAUAGAGACACUUGUCUCUAAUAGUAGCAGUAAUAAUAAUGCUCAAUAAGUAUCAUCAGAGUGGUGACAUCACAGGUGGUAUACAGAGUGAGCAUUAGACUUGGUAGUUAUUCCUGUCCUCAGCAAUGUGUCAUCUUAAUCUUAAAGAUGAACAUACUGUUUAUAGCACAGAGUAAAGUGCCGGAUGUGGCAAGCUAAGAUGCAAACAUCCAUCUUCAAGACCUUUCUGUAAUACUCAAUUUUCUCUAACGCAGAGUUUGGCCUAUACUAUUCUUAGAUGACCUGUUGGUACAAGGGCUACCAUUUUCUUUUGGCAGUUUCUGAGUCUCCAUGUCCCCUCAAGUGAAAUCCAUAAUGUCUUCUAAGUUUCCAGUGGAUUUCAAAGCCUCGUAAUUAACGUCCAUUUAGUAGCGAUAGGGAAUGACUGCUUGUUGCUUUCUUAACAUCCUUUCUUUUACAGGUAAAAGGAUAAAUUUAUAAUUAGCAGCCUCCAAUUUGCAUAGACGCAGAAGUUUAAUUAAGGGAGCAGAAAGUGACUGAAAUUUAAUUGAAAGUAAUACUAUGAUCUAGGUUUUAAUAAACCAAAACAUAAAUGGAUACAUUCUUAUUUCUAUUCUAAAAGGGUACUUUAUUCAAAAUGUGAUAAUCCAAUCUUGAAUUGAGAUAUGUUUUUUGUCAUCACUGGGUAAGCAACUUCCUAGCCACUUUCCACAAAGUGGAUUUUGCUAUGAGCUAUGAGCUGGAUACCAGUCUGCCCAGUGAAGAGCCUCCUUCAUUCCUACUUCCAUAAAAAAGUAACUUGGGAAUAGAGUCAGUGCUGUCCACAGGCCUUGGUAAUAUCAAGAUGCUGCUGUCCUCAUUCGAUAUUUAAACAUCAGCUCUGACGCUGUUUUCAUGCACUUUUCAAAUGAAAGCUCUCCCCUCUGCCUAGCUAAUGGACAGCACAGUGGGAGGAGACCCGUCUGCCGCCCUCCCUAGGCAAUGUAGCUGCCAAGCGGGUGGAAGCCAGAGCAAGAGAGCCAGGAGGUUCACAGCAGUGUGUCUUUCCAGAUCCAAGGGAGACACAAAAGGGAAUUAAAAACUUCACGUUGCGUUGUUGUCACUCUACCCGGGUCUCGCUUGGGAGAGCUCUGCAGCUGCAGAGUGCUGAGAAGUCAGCCCUUCAGAGCAAUUACAAUUCAUAUUGACUAUAAACCUCCCACUGUGCAAGGAAAGGAAGGGAGGUGCUUGCCAAGCGCUCAGAGGGGCGACUGGAAGUUAUUUUACCAUCUGAUGAUAUAUACCACGUUGGCAAACAUUAGGGGAAAAGAGAAGGAGGAGAGAAAGCAAAGAGUUUGUGGAGAAGCUGACAACUGAUCAUCCGGCAUUCAUGAAAGGAACUGGGACCCAGGAGCACUGGUGUCGCCCACCUGUCACUGCUGCAACUGGCUUGUCUAUGGUCUACACUUGGGCGAGGAAAGCUUUUAACCUGAUGUCCCAGCUCACACACAACUAGAGGAGAGGGCAGGGAACACAAGGAAGUGAAGAGCACUUUGGUCAGAACACUUGGUUUGCCUCUUUGCUCUGCCAAUUACUAAGUGGAUGACUCUUAACAAACCAAUUAACCUCUCUUAACCUUUGUUACCUCAUCUGUAAAAUAGGAUCAGAAUAUGAAGAUUAGCAACAAUACAUCGGAGGUGCUUUGUAAACAUGAACACAUUAUGCACAUUGUCCUUUAUUAAAAGUUUUGUAUUAAUUAUGCAUAUUCUUUUGGGCAGUGCCGAGAAAAUAAAAAAGGCAGAGAGGAGAGGUGUGAACCCACCACAGAGCAAUCUUCUAAGAUAAAGGUGUUUUUACAUUUUUGCAACACAAACUCAAAAAGCAAAAAAUGUAAGCGGUGUUUAUGACCAUUGUUAUAAUAACAGCAAUUAUCAUUUGUUCUCAUUAUCGUUUGCUAAGUCUUGCAUUUAUUUACACAGCACAAUUAAUCUGAAAGUUCACCUAACCAUUUCACAAAUGCUACGGUGGAAUGGAGUCCAAGGAAGUGAACAGAGUUGAACGUUAGGACACAGCUGGGCAGUGCAGGAAUUAAAAGGUAAAUCACCAGGCAAAAGGAACAACGAGAUUGAUGCCAGUUUUAGAAUGGGGCCAGAUUGGCACAGGGGCUCACGCCUGUAAUCCCAGCAUUUUGGGAGGCCAAGGUGGGCAGAUCACUUGAGGUCAGUAGUUCAAGACCAGCCUGGCCAACAUGGUGAAACCCUGUCUCUGCUAAAAAUGCAAAAUAAAAUUAGCCAGGUGUAGUAGUACACACCUGUAAUUCCAGCUACUUGGGAGGUUGAGGGAGGAGGAUCACUUGAACCCAGGAGGCAGAGGUUGUGGUGAGCCGAGACCAUGCCACUGUACUCCAGCCAGGAUGAAAAAGCAAGACUCCGUCUUAAAAAAAUAAAUAAAAAUAAAAAAAGAAUGGGGCCAGAAUAUUUGACUUCCAAAGGAUUUAAGUAUCUCAAAGCCAGUGUUGACUCUUAUUGUCUCAUUUCAUGACACCAGCGAUCGGCAGAUAAAGGCAGGUGGGUUUACGAAUAGCUCGUGAGCUCACAAUGAAUUUUAUAUUUUAAGUGGUUGAAAAAAAUUAUAGAAGAAUCAUAUUUCGUGGCUUGUGCAAGUUAUUUGAAAUUAAAAUGUCAUUGUCUCUAAAUAAAGUUUUAUCAGAACACAGCCAUGCCCAUUUGUUUAUGGCUGCUUUUGUCUUACGAUGUCAGAGUUGAGUAGUUGCAACUAGAUUGUAGGUAUAGGUUGGCAAAGCCUGAGAUAUUUAUCAUCUGGUCCUUUAGAGAAGUAUGCCAAUCCCUGCACUGCAUGAAGAUGGACUCCUGAAGGUUCUCAACACUGUUAUUAAAAUUCUUAUUUUAUUCCGUACUCCCUUUUUGGUGCCUUUUCUCAGCACUCUGUGAAGUAGCAAUGAUGAUAGCUCUCAUAUCCAUUCCAAACGAUGCCCACUUCUCUGUCUUCCAAGAGUGGCCCCUGCCACCCUCCAGGGGUCCUCCCUGUCUUGUAGAUGUUGUGCUCCACUUGACAGCUAUGGCUCACCUUAUUUUCAACCUCAGCUACAACAAGACACUUUCUUGCCUCGCCCCUGACUAGUCAUCUCUGCCUCCAUCUUCAUUAUGCAAACAAUUCUAUACUCUGCCCACUUGGGCUUUUUUGGAGUCACUCUUUUCUGGGGUUAACAAAAAUCUGAUUCUUGCCCUGGAUCUUUGGUUAUGCUCACUGGUCUGCUGUUGGUUCUGGUUCUACCUAUGAGGAAGUUUGUUUUCGGAUAGUGGCACUGGUUGGUUUGUUUCUGUAGCACACAGCAUUCUGUGGCAGCAUCUGAGUCCGUCUUCACUACUACUGCCUUAGAGGGGGCCAUCAUCUUCCCAGGAGGAGUACAGUUGCAUCAAUCGGCACCUUCAACCAAAAUGUAUCAUUGCAUACUCCUUACCUCUGCUGGUUUCAAACCUAUAUUUUAUCAUCACCAACUCUUCUCCCUGCCUCUUCACCCUCUCUCCCUGUUUUCUGUCUGGAAUCUCUGUAGCGAAAGUUUAUUUGUGAAGCAGAGGUGGCAUGCCUUAAGUUGACCAGAAGAUCAUGGUCAAAUGAGCCCUACCCAAUUUACUACAUUUCUUUUGAAUUCCUUAGGUAUCUCCUAAGGACCUCUCAGAAUCCUGUAAUUACAAUUUCAUAAUUUCAAAAAUACUUUACAUGUUAUAAUAAUAAUGAUUUCAACAAUAAGAGAAAGGGACCACUCUGUCAUAGAGAUUUCUUUUCUAUUUAGAUGGACUCUGAAAUCUUGUCACUUCAAAAGUGAACCUCAAUUUUUACAUCAAAAAAUUACUAGUUAUUGUUAACUGUUAGAAGUAUGUGUCAUUUAUAUUCUGCAUAACUCUGAUACUUUUAAAAAUGUGUAAUAUGUGUUUGUGACAAUCUUAUAGUCAUAAACUGAGCCUUUAGAAAUAGAUUUUCAAUGUUAGAUUCCAGUAAGAUAUGUUUUAGCUGAAACAGAUAUUUAAUUAAAUCAGGACAGGCCUUUGGUGAACCAGCAGGCAACAUGCCUGCCUGUAUUAAUGUGGUUCUCCCUUUGCUGUGAUGCAGAGAGCUCCAUAUGAUCUGAAGACUCUGUUGUAGCAGCAGUCUGAUUCAUGACAUUCCCUAGUUGUCAAUGGGAUGAAUUCUGGAAUGAAGCCCAGAUUCUAAAGUCAACCCACAUGGGUUUUCUAAUGCAGGGGGAGUCAUCUCUGCUUUCAUCUUCAUUAAAUACCAUUAGAAUCAUCUUCCGACCCCUCAAGGAGAUGAGAAAUGUUGGAGCCUCCAAUGAUGCAUCAAUAGGAAGCAAGCUAAUCGGAAGAAUUCAAGAGCCUUGAGUAGAUCUCUCAGUCCUUAGCCUCAGAUCAACUAGUGGAGCCUUCCCCAUCCUGGGUAACCUCUGGAAGUCAAGUUGUCUUGAUUUGCAUUAUCAUCUUUAUUUAUCUGCUCUCCAGAGGAUCCCCAUCUUAACAAUUAAAGUACAUACAAGAAAAUGACUGAGGAUUUCCUUUUGGCUUCCCUGGAAAUGGAGGAUCAAGCUGAGUAAAUUCUCCAAGCUUCUCAAUUUGUGAAGAAAAAAAUGUUACAUUUAGAGGGAAAAAGGGGGAUCUUGACUAGUUAAAAAAAAAGUGGUGUGUGGGGACAGGGUGCAAGUGGGAGAAAGAAAGAAUAGCAAAGAAAAGAAGAGGUGUCAUUUGAGCGUCUCGCUGGUUUUUCUUCUAUCCUGGUUAUCAAAAGGGCAAAGAAAUUCCACUUCCCUUUCCCCUCCCUCAGGUGCCCUCAGGCCUGCGCAGCCUGGGCUGGGUUUGCAUGGCUUUCACAUGGCCUGAGCAGCCACCCUGUUUGAAAGUAAAGCAAGAGCAGCCACAAAGUGUCUGAGAUUCAUGAGAUCGCUCCACAAAUUAAAACCUUUUAUCAGCCUCUAAGAGCUGUGCAAACUAAUUAGACUUUGGCCAAACUUUGCCAAUGACUCCCUCGAGGUAUUAUUAUAAAAUUUUGAGCUUGGAAAUGCGUCCCCAUUCUGUCAACAUCAGGUUGUUUCAGCUACAGAAAUCGAGCUCCGGCUCAUUUUAGCUUCCAUGAUGUGCUUUGCAUAAACCGUGGCAUUUUGCACUGGUGUGGCAGGGAGGAGAGCAGCACAGCUGUAUUUGAAAACACGUAGGGAUGUUUCCCAGCAAUAGGACUUGAGACACAGGGACUGAGUUUCAAGAAAAACCCAUUUUUGCCCCUCAAUUUUAAGAAGACACUGCAGAGUUCUUAGCUUAAGAUGUAAAGGUGAGUACUCAACAUCGAGGUCUAACAGCUUCUCAUUUAGGGAGGACAUACCGUGUCCCUUCUCAAUGUUUCUGGCUCUUCAUAUGCAGAUGAACAGCUCUUACUAACAAAUUGCUGCCCGAAUCUUUGGUCAUGUUUUGAAGCAAAGUCUGGGAGAGGAGGCUUUCUGGGAGAGCUUGGUAAGAAGUCAGUAAACUUUGAUUUGUCUCAGAGGAUUUAGGUUCAUAAAUAGCAAGGGUGCAGACUCCAUGUGACUCAACGAAUUUUUGAAUGUGUCAGUCAAAAAAUAUUUAUCAAACAUAUAUAGGCUCUUUGGCAUUAUUAGAGGUAUGUAGGGGCAUCGACAGUGCCACGUAUGCCAGUGGAGCCGUUCGUACUCUUGCUGUGAAUAAUUCUGUGCGGGGCUGGCCUGGGAGUACAGAAUCCCUCCGCAGCAGACGUGUCCUUCCACACGCUCAGAGCCCCGGGACACAGCGGACCUUGAAGGGGAACAGAGAAGUAGAGGGUUUCCCUCAUCCUUAGCCUACGACUGGAGAAGGGGGCCAGGAAAUGAGAGGUGGUGUUUGUUUCCUUUGCUGAAAAUGGAGUGAGGUGACCUUCCGAUGUACCCAAGCACCUUAUGACAGUGUGUUUUUACCACUUCCCAGGACUGACCAUCUGCCCAACUUUUGGACCAAUCCUGGGCCACUGGUGGAGCCAGGAAGCCCGGAGGGUCAUGGAAGGGGAGACUCUUGCCCAGGAGUCCGCAAGAGGGCUAUGCAGCUGGCAUAUUGGCCCACAGAACCCCCAGCCCUGCAGCAUGGCUCCGAGUGCUCACAGGCCCAGAGCAGAGGCAGGAGUGGAGGCUGCCAGGGUUUAGACCCUCCUUCACUAAAGGGUCCCCAGGUUCAUUUUUGUCUCUGCCAUCUGCCAUCCCGUCUCACGGGCUCUCAUGAUGGGCUCAUCAGGUUCUUGAAUUCUUUCCAGUUGUCACUAAUUACACUGCAGAUCUGUAAAUCAUUCCAGGCUGGGGCUGACAGGGAGAGACGGGCCCUCUGCCAUGCUGAGCUCGGGGCUUCCUGCCACACCUGCAGCCAGUGACCCUAAGGCAGCCGCUGAUCGGUGCUCAAUGUAGAAGGCAGGGGUGGCCAGUCCCUCAGUCACCCAUCCCCAGGCUCUAGCCCUGGCUGUGGCCGCAUAUGCGUGUUCAUCCUGGGACCAGGUCUCAGGUAAUGCAACCCGGACUGGAAGAAUGUAGCCACUGUCUCUGCCUAUAGGUUCUUACUGCUCUUGGAAUAUUAAAGACAGCUGCGAGGAAAGGUGAGCUUAUUGCAUCUGGAGUUUGAUAAAGUUGGGACAGCGCUUCUCAAACUUAGUUUAAUAAUACAACAGACUGAUUCAUCAAUUCUGGGAUUGGGUCUACCAAUCUUCAUUUUAAAUGUGUACCCCAGGUGAUUCUUGGGUGGUGAUUCAGUACCCCACUUGAAGAACUACUGUACACUAACUUACACUUUUUCUGGCUCUAGGCUAUCAUUGACCCUCUUGUUUCUGGAUCGGGUGAGAACCUUCUCUUUUCAACCUUGCUAUUCCAAUAGGGACACAAAUGUCUUCUGAUCAAAACUACACUAGCUUCUGUGUACACAGGAGCUAUUCACAAUGCAGGUGCACAAGCCCUAUGCCUGUCACUGAGAGAAAGCCUGUGACCUCUGGGUGUUCUGCAGCCAGUGUGGUGGGUCGAGAGGGAACCCCCAGUUCCCCCAGCCCACCGGCUCACUGCACAGAUUGCUGGCUAAUGGGGCGGAGCUAGCUGAAGUGCCUUCUAUUAAUGGAGCAGAAUAUAAACAGAAUAAAGCCUUCAUUUCCCA